AAUUGCUUCACGGAAGUAUGAAUAUCUUAAAUUGGGUGACCCAGAUUACAGGGCUCUGAGAUUAGGGAAGUGAUGCACUUUGCCAGCAGCCUGUUGUAGAAGCAGCACACACCCCAAAACAAUGAGUGGCCCUGCCAAGCUCCUUCCCCUGGAACCACACUCGGCAUCUCAGCAGCAAGCCGCGGGAGCUUUGAACUGUGUGCGAGAGCAUCUGUGCUUUAUCUCCAUUUAUUUUGUGCAUCCGUUAGCAAGAUGGGAAAGACACAUAAGCCAAGACUUGUGCUACAGGUGGGAAGGAUUGUCCGGAAGGGAGUGUGGUGGGGUGAGCAGCCAGGCCGCUUGUUUGUUGGUGCUAUGGGAUUUGGCGUCUUAAAUUACUCAUCUCUCAGAUCGGGAUGUGGAGCUAGAUGACCUGCGAGUGGGGUGACCACACAGCCCAGUUGGCUCUGAUUCUUACCUGAUGUGCCACAGCAACAAUUACUAGCACCCCCUUCCACUCUCAGAAGGGAGUAUAGAUCCG
rnacentral:lncRNA from 1 species